CAUGCAGCACGUAUGAUAAAUAUAAAUUGGAAUGGAUACAGAGAAGAUUAGCAUGGCCCCUGCAAAAGGAUGACACGCAAAUCCGUGAAGCGUUUCCACACUGUU